rnacentral:rRNA from 1 species
CCUACGGGUGGCAGCAGUGAGGAAUAUUGGUCAAUGGACGAGAGUCUGAACCAGCCAAGUAGCGUGAAGGAUGACUGCCCUAUGGGUUGUAAACUUCUUUUAUAAAGGAAUAAAACGAGGCACGUGUGCCUUUUUGCAUGUACUUUAUGAAUAAGGAUCGGCUAACUCCGUGCCAGCAGCCGCGGUAAUACGGAGGAUCCGAGCGUUAUCCGGAUUUAUUGGGUUUAAAGGCAGCGUAGAUGGGUUGUUAAGUCAGUUGUGAAAGUUUGCGGCUCAACCGUAAAAUUGCAAUUGAUACUGGCAGUCGUGAGUACAGUUGAGGUAGGCGGAAUUCGUGGUGUAGCGGUGAAAUGCUUAGAUAUCACGAAGAACCCCGAUUGCGAAGGCAGCUUACUAAACUGUGACUGACAUUGAUGCUCGAAAGUGUGGGUAUCAAACAGGAUUAGAUACCCGAGUAGUC